CCCGGGCUGCUGGCUGUGGUGUGAAAGGUGCCUGAAGCGGCUCACACCCUGGGAGCUCCCGUGUCAGGUUCCCGGGUGCGACCCGCCUAAGGCCCUCGGGGGGAGCCGGUCAGGCGGAUCGGCAUUCUGAGCCUGGUCACCAUGCAAUGCAGAAUGCGUUGCUAUGGAGGGGACGGAGCAAGUGAGCUGAUGCUGCUGGGUAGGCAGAUCGGCAGCCUGAGCAUGGUCACCAGACAACGCUGGAUGCGUUGCUAUGGAGGGGCCGGAGCCAGCUAGCUGACGUCACCGGAACGGAAGUUGCGGGAGCCGCUAACCGGACCUGGCUGUCUCCGUGGGUCCAUACCCAUUUAGAUGGGACAUAGCAGCCAGCUGACACUGGUGGUACAAGGAAUAGAUGGAUACAAUGACAUUCUAAGUGCAGCUUUGGUUUGACAACAUCUUUAUAAUGGGUCUUGAUACCAGCAUUAAGGAGGGUCCAUUACCAAUCCAGGGUAAAGUUGUACAUUAUCCUUAAGCCCCAAGGGUGUACAUCCACCUCCAUUUUUGCAUUGUUUCAGUUAGCCUGGAGCUGCUUUCGU